rnacentral:sRNA from 1 species
CCCGAAAAGUCUUCGUGUUACAUCCCUUUUUUUUUUUGGUUUUUCUCUUUUUGUUUUGUUAAAAAUGUAUGACUCUAUAACUUUUAGACUGUGAGGCCAAACUUGGCAUGUGAUAUAUUUUCGGAAAGCCCAAAGAGAGCUCUCCGAUAAAUGAGGAAGCACAAUGGAAUUCUUCUAUUGUUUUUCUUUUCUACUCCAAAUUUUGACCUUAAUGUACUUUUUCAUGCCUUUUCGUGAUCUUUUGCUAUAUUACAGGGCGAAAGUUAUAUGUUCGUAUAC